rnacentral:tRNA from 1 species
GUCCUUAUGGUGAAAUGGAUAUCACAACGGUCUUCGGAACCGUCGUUGGGGGUUCGAAUCCCUCUAAGGACACAA